rnacentral:rRNA from 1 species
GACGAACCGUGCGAACGUUGUUCGGAAUCACUGGGCUUAAAGGGCGCGUAGGCGGGCUGUCAAGUCUGGGGUGAAAUGCCGCGGCUCAACCGUGGAACUGCCUCAGAUACUGACGGCCUCGAGGGAGGUAGGGGCGUGCGGAACUGUAGGUGGAGCGGUGAAAUGCGUUGAUAUCGGGAAGAACACCCGUGGCUAAGGCGGCUCUCUAGUACGGUACUGACGCUGAGACGCGAAAGCGUGGGGAGCGAACAGG